UGGCUCUCGCAUCGAUGAAGAACGCAGCGAAACGCGAAAUGUAAUGUGAAUUGCAGAAUCUCUAGUGAAUCAUCGAAUCUUUGAACGCAUCUUGCGCCCAAUGGUAUUCCGUUGGGCAUGCCUGUCUGAGUGUCCCAAACCUUCUCAGUCGCUACUUUUUUGUCAUGAAAUUGUAAUCGAUCUGGAUUUUGAGUGUAGCUUUUUGGUUACGAAAAGCCACUUUAAUACAAAGGUCAACUUGUCAUUUUACGGUUUGACCGGGUGUUGUAAGAUCGCCUCAUUCGGGACGUAAUGAGAAGUUGUUUUUUUAGUGAUAUAGCGAUUUAGACCUCAGAUCAGGUAGGAUUACCCGCUGA
rnacentral:misc_RNA from 1 species